rfam:Stegodyphus mimosarum contig18370, whole genome shotgun sequence.
GCCUUUGUAGUAUAGUGGUCAGCACGCUGGGCACGUAUUCCAGAGGUCCGUGGUUCGAGUCCCGGCGAAGGCG